AGAGUUUGAUCAUGGCUCAGAUUGAACGCUGGCGGCAGGCCUAACACAUGCAAGUCGAGCGGCAGCACAGAGGAACUUGUUCCUUGGGUGGCGAGCGGCGGACGGGUGAGUAAUGCCUGGGAAAUUGCCCGGUAGAGGGGGAUAACCAUUGGAAACGAUGGCUAAUACCGCAUAACCUCGCAAGAGCAAAGCAGGGGACCUUCGGG
rnacentral:rRNA from 1 species